UGGGGAAUCUUGCGCAAUGGGCGAAAGCCUGACGCAGCCAUGCCGCGUGGAUGAUGAAGGUCUUAGGAUUGUAAAAUCCUUUCAGCGGGGACGAUAAUGACGGUACCCGCAGAAGAAGCCCCGGCUAACUUCGUGCCAGCAGCCGCGGUAAUACGAAGGGGGCUAGCGUUGCUCGGAAUUACUGGGCGUAAAGGGCGCGUAGGCGGAUAGUUUAGUCAGAGGUGAAAGCCCAGGGCUCAACCUUGGAAUUGCCUUUGAUACUGGCUGUCUUGAGUACGGGAGAGGUGAGUGGAACUCCGAGUGUAGAGGUGAAAUUCGUAGAUAUUCGGAAGAACACCAGUGGCGAAGGCGACUCACUGGCCCGUUACUGACGCUGAGGCGCGAAAGCGUGGGGAGCAAACA
rnacentral:rRNA from 1 species